CGUACCUAUUUUUGUUUCAUUUGUCUCUGUCCCUGGAAUACCAACUCCCCCAGGCCAGGAUUUUUUGUUUCCUGUCCACUGCUGGAUUCUCAGCACCUAGAACUGGUCCUGGCACCUCAUAGGUGCUCAGGACAAUGCAGGCGGGUGGAAGAGAGCGAGAAUCCUGCAAGCAGUCCUGGUCCUGCCUGAGCAGCGGGCAGGCCUGCCGGUCUGUUCCCAGUUAGGCGCUGAGAGGGUGGGCGGGGGGCGCAUUCAGGCUGCGCUUCUCCCCGAGGCCGCUAGGGGCCGCUGCCCCGCUGCUCUGCGGCCGCCAGGUGAGGAGGCCCGGUCCCUGCCCCCCAGGUACGCGGAGGCGUGGCGGGCGGGGGUCCAGGGGAGCAGGGUGAAGAGCACAGAGAUGUAGACGGUGUAGGGGGAGGGAGAGAAGUGGGGGGUGAAGGGAGAGAGCUGAGCGCGUCUGAAGUGGGAGCUGCGGAAAGGGAGGGGAAAGAAAGCCCUGGAGGCGCUGGAGGCCUGAGAAGGCAGGUGCUACCGUCAGCCCUUCUCCAGUGGGCUGCCGAGGCAGAGGCGCUGUCAGCCAGCAUCCUCACAGGAAGCAGACAACCAGGAUGGGUCAACCGAGCCGUCCAGGGAAGGGACACGUUUGCAAAAAGAUUCUGGAACAUCCUGCUGAGACACCAAGUGAUCUGUCUGGCUGGGUGAUGCUGUCCAAAAGCCGGGUG